ACGCCAUUGGUCACGAAUGAGGCCUACUUCAAGUAGUUCCUCCCCCCACCCUCCAUCCCAUUGCCC
rnacentral:lncRNA from 1 species